ACUCUGACUCAGCUGCAGCCACAUCUGGCUUGAAAUUCUACUGGAAACCCAUGGAGUUCGGGGCUCCACACGGCGACUCUCAUGAUCAUAGAACACGAACAGCUGGUCAUCCACGUAGCCCAAAGCUUCAAACAAGGAAAGACCAAGGUCCUGCUCUGAGGCACCCAUGAAGAGGUAGUGCAGAGAGUGUGAACCUGGAGACAGAGCAACAGGCCUUAACCAUGUGUAGUAGGAGGGGAGCAGGAUGUUGAGGCUCCACACACCUGCAUCAACUCAUACCAUCAGCUGUGUCUGGUCCUCAUUUUGUGAAGGGCAAAAGAACAAUUGCCAAGAGUGGGGAAAGGCCCGAGGUAGGCCUCUCUCAGGAGCCUCCCACCCUAGAGACCUCCACCCCAGGUCUCACCAAAAGUGGGUGGAAUGGUGAAGAAUUCAGAUCCCCAACGCCACUCUUUCGCGCCCCCACCGCCCAACGCAUUCGUUCUGAGGUGGAAACCCCGUGCGGAUCCUGCUGUGGGUUUGCUCAGCCUUCUCGGCAAGCACUCAGGGAAGAACUUCCUGUUUGGAGAUGACUGGGGAAAAAACUGCACAGCUGACAUUGGAAAUAAACCCGAGUUCCAGGUUCAAGGAGCCCCAGGCUUAGCUCAGCUCAAGUGAGGAACUACGAGAUUUAUUUAAAAGCAUUCUAGUUGGGGGAAGGGAGUGGGCGGUUCCAAAAGUCACUCCGCAGAGCCGGGACAGCCGGGGGAGGGGGCAGGUCCUGGGGCGAGGGACCCCUAUCUGCAGUUCAGUGGUAGGCACUCCCUCACGGGGUCUGGACGCAGAAAGUAGGGAGAGGGGCUUGCGGAUAGGGUUGAGCAGGUCCUCCAAAGUUAGCAAACUCCCAAGCGCAAAGAAAAAGCUAGUUUCGAUUUUUCCACCCCCGCCGCGCCCCUAGUUCGCCCGCAGCCCUCGGACUCACGCAGCAAGCGCCCCUGCAGGACCGCGGUCUGCAAAAGCAUCAGGAGGAGAAGCGCCGGCCUGGCUCGCGGGCCCAUUUCCCCAGCUCUGGCCGCACGUCCCCGUUAAAUCUCCGCUUCUUUUGGGGGGCGGGGAAACGGGGAUGGCUCCAGAAGUCACCCUACAGCUAUUGCCUAGGCUCAGGAGAUGCCCAGUAAAACUUCCUGGUGAAAAGCAACAGGUCUUUCAGAACUUUAGUUCUCUCUCUCCUACAGCAGAAGGUACCUGCUUGUGAAACACUAGGUGAUCCAGUGUCCCCCUUGGUUUUUAAAUCCUGAAGGGGUGUUGUUGAUUGGGGAAAGUAGCUUCGCAAUGUUCUGAUCUGAACUUUAGAUAUUUAAAUAUUUAUGAUUUUCAAAAUUCAAUCAUACAUUUAAAAAUUUUAUCUCAACCUUAGACCAACUUAUGUCUUAUUUGACUUAGAAAUAUAAAGCUUUUUCAUUUUGUUUUUUGAUUCAAAUUAAUUAAGUCAUAACAUUAACCAAUUAGAUCCUACUGAAACACCUUCCACAGCCUUCAUAAUUGAAUUAUCUGACAAGUGUUUCACAAACUUUACAGUAUUGGGAUUAUCUGGAGAAUGAUUAAACAUAUUGAGGCCUGCUCCUAACCCCAGACACACUGAUUUAAUGGGUAAUUGUUAGGUAGUUAGACAUUAGCAGUUGGGAGGGGAUGACAGAAGAGAGCGGAAAGGCUGUCACUAAGACAGCCACUGGCCCACCUAAAUUCAGGCCCAAGACUACCCUAAUGCCACCCUAAGGGAUGGAGUUUAUGAUAAAGUCUGUGGCCAAAAUAUCCUGGAGAAAGAGAAAGGAGGGUACAGGUGGAAAUUCCCUAAGGUGGCACAUGCCCAACAACACAAAAGCCUGUCUUCAAGUUCACCCCAAGUUCAUCAUGCCAUCAUUAUAAUAGAAUUUACAUACAGUUUUGCCCCCCCAUCCCUGGGAGGCUUUUCUUAACAAAUUAUAGGUAAGACCAUGCACAGUUUAAUUUUAGAUUGUAUAGCUAUACACUUCAAUCAAAUAACAUCAUCCUGUCACUCAGAUACAGCCCAAACCUCAACUCCUCCCCACAAACCCCAUAAAAGCACCUUGAGCUCUGUAAAGAAGUGCUGAGUUCACUUCGCAGAAAUAAGCCCGCUGUCCCUCAGAGUGUAUUAUUGUGCUUCAAUAAACUUUGCUUUAAGCUUGCA